GACGAACGCUGGCGGCGUGCUUAACACAUGCAAGUCGAACGGUGAAGCGCCUUCCUUUUUGGUGGGUGUGGAUGAGUGGCGAACGGGUGAGUAACACGUGAGUAACCUGCCCCCUUCUUCUGGAUAACCGCAUGAAAGUGUGGCUAAUACGGGAUAUUCUGGGUCUGUCGCAUGAUGGGUCUGGGAAAGAUAUUGUUUCGGUGGGGGCUGGGCUCGCGGCCUAUCAGCUUGUUGGUGGGGUGAUGGCCUACCAAGGCGGUGACGGGUAGCCGGCCUGAGAGGGUGGACGGCCACACUGGGAGUGAGGCACGGCCCAGACUCAGACGGGGGGCAGCAGUGGGGAAUAUGGCACAGUGGGCGAAAGCCUGAUGCAGCGACGCCGCGGGAGGGAUGGAGGCCUUCGGGUGGUGAACCUCUUUCGCCAGUGAAGCAGGCCUGCCUCGUUUGUGGGUGGGUUGACGGUAGCUGGAUAAGAAGCGCCGGCUAACUACGUG
rnacentral:rRNA from 1 species